rnacentral:rRNA from 1 species
UGGGGAAUAUUGGACAAUGGGGGAAACCCUGAUCCAGCAAUGCCGCGUGUGUGAAGAAGGCCUGCGGGUUGUAAAGCACUUUUGGCAGGGAUGAAAAAGCGCCGGGCGAAUAUCCUGGUGUCUUGACCUAACCUGCAGAAUAAGCACCGGCUAACUCUGUGCCAGCAGCCGCGGUAAUACAGAGGGUGCAAGCGUUAAUCGGAAUUACUGGGCGUAAAGCGCGCGUAGGCGGUCGAGUGAGUCGGAUGUGAAAUCCCCGGGCUUAACCUGGGAAUUGCAUUCGAUACUGCUCGGCUAGAGUGUGGAAGAGGGAAGCGGAAUUUCCGGUGUAGCGGUGAAAUGCGUAGAUAUCGGAAGGAACACCGAGUGGCGAAGGCGGCUUCCGUGGUCCAACACUGACGC